rnacentral:rRNA from 1 species
GCUGACGAGUCCUUUACUGACGCUAAAGCUCGAAGGUGCGGGUAUCGAACAGGAUUAGAUACCCUGGUAGUCCGCACGGUAAACGAUGGAUGCCCGCUGUUUGCGAUAUAUUGUAAGCGGCCAAGCGAAAGCGUUAAGCAUCCCACCUGGGGAGUACGCCGGCAACGGUGAAACUCAAAGGAAUUGACGGGGGCCCGCACAAGCGGAGGAACAUGUGGUUUAAUUCGAUGAUACGCGAGGAACCUUACCCGGGCUUGAACUGCAGGAGAACGAUCCAGAGAUGGUGAGGCCCUUCGGGGCUCCUGUGGAGGUGCUGCAUGGUUGUCGUCAGCUCGUGCCGUGAGGUGUCGGCUUAAGUGCCAUAACGAGCGCAACCCCUUUCGCCAGUUGCCAUCAGGUGAUGCUGGGCACUCCGGCGACACUGCCACCGUAAGGUGCGAGGAAGGUGGGGAUGACGUCAAAUCAGCACGGCCCUUACGUCCGGGGCUACACACGUGUUACAAUGGGUGGUACAGAGAGCAGGGUGCACGCAAGUUCACCCGAAUCAAGAAAGCCAUCCUCAGUUCGGAUUGGGGUCUGCAACCCGACCCCAUGAAGCUGG